rnacentral:lncRNA from 1 species
GAAGAAUAAGAUCAUCUUGAGGAAGGAUUGCCAUGCCUAUUGCCAGGUGUCCUCUGCCAUCUGCCAUUUAACAAGCUGACUUUAGAUAUGACCUAAAAUUGAGGAUAUCCAGCUCAUUUCCUUUUGCCAUCCUCCACUUCUGUUUUGGGAACAGCUAUCUAAGGAAAUGGUGUAGGUGGUCACAGAACCAUGAUGUACUGGAGGAGAGUCUGUUCAUCCUGUAAUCUGUGUUAAACAUUGCACUUGAAAUGGCUGAUUAGUGAAUGUUCAUUAAUGAUACAGAUGAAUUUUCAUCUUGUGACUGGAAUGAUAUUAAAAUUAU